AUUGAACGCUGGCGGCAUGCCUUACACAUGCAAGUCGAACGGUAACAGGCCGCAAGGUGCUGACGAGUGGCGAACGGGUGAGUAAUGCAUCGGAACGUGCCCAGUCGUGGGGGAUAUCUGCUCGAAAGAGCAGCUAAUACCGCAUACGACCUGAGGGUGAAAGCGGGGGACCGUAAGGCCUCGCGCGAUUGGAGCGGCCGAUGUCAGAUUAGCUAGUUGGUGGGGUAAAGGCCUACCAAGGCAACGAUCUGUAGUUGGUCUGAGAGGACGACCAGCCACACUGGGACUGAGACACGGCCCAGACUCCUACGGGAGGCAGCAGUGGGGAAUUUUGGACAAUGGGCGCAAGCCUGAUCCAGCAAUGCCGCGUGCAGGAAGAAGGCCUUCGGGUUGUAAACUGCUUUUGUCAGGGAAGAAAUCUUCUGGGCUAAUACCCCGGGGGGAUGACGGUACCUGAAGAAUAAGCACCGGCUAACUACGUGCCAGCCGCCGCGGUAACAC
rnacentral:rRNA from 1 species